rnacentral:lncRNA from 1 species
GUAUAACAAUAUAAGCACUUUGUGUUGCUAAGUGUUCUAAAACGCGGUCUGGGCGACCGUCUAGACGGCGCCUAGGCGCUGGGCGUCGGGCAUCCGCCGCGAUUAUUUCAAAAACGUUCAGGAAAUCGGCAAGGGUACUAGGCACCGGGCUAAGCGGCCUCUGCGGUGGUUCUGUUAAAAUAUUCCGUUUCACUACACAGCGAGGGUGACGAAAGAGAAGCCGAGAGAGCGUGAGGGAAGAGUAAACGUGAGAGAGAUGUAGAAGGAAUCAGAUAACAGUGCAAUUGCAGGAAAAAAAAACAAGAACUCUUACCUGGAAGCCCAGAUUUCUUUGCCGGAGAGGAUUUCUUCGCUGUGCUUGAGGAAAUUGACUGUACUCAUGAUUAGGUUUUGGAAAAUUAUACAGAGCAAGAAGAUGGAAAUCAGGCGGAAAGAUGGGAAAUCAGGCGGAGCAAUCGAAGAAGAAUGGAGGGAGAGGAAACGAGAAACCGCAAAUUAAGGCCUUACCGAUUUCCAAUGUGUCAAAAGUCACUGCCCUCUGUCAAAAGCCGUCUAGGCGCUAAGCCCCUACCCACCGCACGAUUAGCACCUAGCAUUUUUUAGAACCUUAACAAGGGAUUCAUUUAUGCAUACUGUUUAGAACUUUGUUGUUAAAAUGCGUGGUUAAGAUUCUCAGAAGUCUAUUAGUAUCAUAUAUUUUGCACAUUGUUGGUCAAGAGAACUUUCUGCUUACAUUUAAGCCUAUGAAUUUACUAGUUCAUUUUGCCAUGACUAAUUUGUAAU